CAAAUACUUCCGGUAGGCCUUCGGGAGUGAGACCUGCGUCUCGAUUAGGUAGUUGGCGGAGUAAUAGCCCACCAAGCCUACGAUCAGUAGCUGGUCUGAGAGGAUGAUCAGCCACACUGGAACUGAGACACGGUCCAGACUCCUACGGGAGGCAGCAGUAAGGAAUAUUGCUCAAUGGGGGGAAACCCUGAAGCAGCAACGCCGCGUGAAGGAUGAAAUACUUUUGUAUGUAAACUUCUGUAAGAUGGGAAAAAUAUUCUCCUCGGGAGAAUUGAUUGUACCAUCAGAGUAAGCCCCGGCUAACUACGUG
rnacentral:rRNA from 1 species